UGGUGGAGUGAUUUGUCUGGUUAAUUCCGUUAACGAACGAGACCUCAGCCUGCUAAAUAGUUACGUGAACCUUCUACUCUGGUGAAGCAGGUGGCGAUGGGGUGGUUUCGGCUGCCCUCUUCCCGCCUGUGGAUCCUUGAUGAGUCCACGGAUAUACUUCUUAGAGGGACUAUUCGAAUCUAGCGAAUGGAAGUUUGAGGCAAUAACA
rnacentral:rRNA from 1 species